AUUGAACGCUAGCGGCAUGCCUUACACAUGCAAGUCGAACGGCAGCACGGGGCAACCUGGUGGCGAGUGGCGAACGGGUGAGUAAUGUAUCGGAACGUGCCCAGUAGCGGGGGAUAACUACGCGAAAGCGUAGCUAAUACCGCAUACGCCCUACGGGGGAAAGGGGGGGAUCGCAAGACCUCUCACUAUUGGAGCGGCCGAUAUCGGAUUAGCUAGUUGGUGAGGUAAAGGCUCACCAAGGCUUCGAUCCGUAGCUGGUUUGAGAGGACGACCAGCCACACUGGGACUGAGACACGGCCCAGACUCCUACGGGAGGCAGCAGUGGGGAAUGUUGGACAAUGGGGGCAACCCUGAUCCAGCAAUGCCGCGUGUGCGAAGAAGGCCUUCGGGUUGUAAAGCACUUUUGGCGGGAACGAAACGGUGCCGGAUAAUACCUGGCGCCACUGACGGUACCCGCAGAAUAAGCACCGGCUAACUACGUG
rnacentral:rRNA from 1 species